UUGUACCGCCCAUUGGGGCAUUAAUGAGAUCCCACAGAGGGGUCAAUGCUUAUGAUUAUGACUAUGUUCAGUGCAUGCACAGGUUGAGUUUGGUGUAUGAUAGAAUGUAUGAAGGAAAAGUUUUAAUUUUUAUGUAUGUUGUUAAUCAUGUAUGGGAUUAAACAGGUUUUCAGGUUGUAUGUUAGGCUUGCUAUGGGUCCC
rnacentral:lncRNA from 1 species